rnacentral:tRNA from 2 species
UUUGUAGCUCAGUCGGUAGAGCAGAGGACUGAAAAUCCUCGUGUCGGUGGUUCGAUUCCGCCCG